UUCGGUCCAAAUCUCGUUCGUUCUUGACGCAUCGCAUUAGAUCUACAAUAUAUGAAUCUUCAUGCCUUGUAUUAAUUAUUCCAUUACGAAUCUUUCUAAACUUUUUCCAUUUCUUGCUGACUAUACGGACUAGCCAUCUCAGUUUUUGUUUGAACACCUUUCACAGAUAAAUAAAAGGUUUCUCCUAGUUUACUUACACAGUUUUCCAAAUAAAAUCGCGCAUUUGCUCUCCUUUCUGAU